UACGGAGGAUGCAAGCGUUAUCCGGAUUUAUUGGGUUUAAAGGGUGCGUAGGCGGGACUGUAAGUCAGGGGUGAAAUACUGCAGCUUAACUGUAGCAUUGCCUUUGAAACUGCCGUUCUUGAGUACAGUUGAGGUAGGCGGAAUGUGGUGUGUAGCGGUGAAAUGCAUAGAUAUACCACAGAACGCCGAUUGCGAAGGCAGCUUACUAAGCUGUUACUGACGCUAAGGCACGAAAGCGUGGGGAUCAAACAGGAUUAGAUA
rnacentral:rRNA from 1 species